UAUAAAGUAGCACCAAAAAUAGUUCUAUGGUUGGGGGUCACCACAUGAGGAACUGUAUUAAAGGGUCGCAGUGUGGGGAAGACUGAACCACUGUGCUAGCUGCUGAUCCUAACGUGCCCCAGGAACUUCCGGUCCACGUGAACUUCUGAUUCCCCCAGACCUUUACCAACACUCAAUUUUGUUUCUGUCAUUUUGAGAAAUGAAAACUAUUCAAGUAUAUACAUUUUGUCAUUAAUUAACUACCACUUAUAGUUUGAUUUCUUUUGGAAAAUGGAUUUCCCCUGAUGUCUAAUAGAAUUCUAGAAUUUUCCUUGUUGACUGUAAUGUCUUUCCUAUAUAUUAACAUUAACCUUUUUGUCUGAUGCAGACUGAAAUGUUUUCCUCAACUUUUAAUGGUGAGGGGGGUUUUGCCACCUUAAAAUUCACAUAUCUGUCUACAUAGAGAUGAGUCACCAACUCCCAGAGAAUGGAUUCAUUCACUUUCUUUGCUUCUAGUCCUAAAAAUUGAUUUUUAAAACUAAGCAGUCACACAGUCAACAUUAAUGUGUAAGAAACAGCUGCCAUGGGUAAAGGAAAAAAUACUUGGUAAGCAAGCUAUAUAAAAAUAUUACUGUUGAAGGACCUUAGCUUUUUAGAAUCGUGAUUUUAUAGUGAGUUUGACGAUGGGGGAAAGCGAACUGAUGAAUGAUUCACAAAGGCGGUGUGGACACACCGAGCAACUGACUCCCCCGAGUCCCAGCAUUACAAUUGAUCAAACAGAACUGAACCACGCCAUCUGGCUUCUGUAUGAACUCCCCCGCAGUCAAUUCCUGAAAACCAAAGCUCGUAACCAAGCGUCAUUAAUCUGAGCAUUCUGGAAGUUAGAGAAAGAUAAAAACAUAAAACGUUCAAGGUCUGUCCUGCCUACAAGAUGUGCAGGGACAAAAAGAUAGAGCAGAAACUGAGGGAGUGGCCAACCAAAGACCGCCCCAAAUUGAGACCCAGCCCAUGGGCAAGAACCAAUCCCUGACACUGUUAAUGGUACGCCAUUACGCUUGCAGACUAGAGCCUAGAAUAACUGCCCUCUGAGAGGCUCCACCCAUCGGCCAAUGGAAAAAGAUGGAGAGACUCAGCAAAAUACUAGAUGGCGCUCAGGGAGUCUUACAGAAGAGUUGGGAGAAAAAAAAAAUAGGGACCCAAAGAGGACAGGGACUCCACAGAAAGACCAAGAGUCAACUAUCUGGACCGUUGGGGCCUCCCAGAGACUGAAUCACCAGAGCAAGCACGAGCCUCGACCUAGGCCCCUGCACGCAUGUAGCAAAUGAACAGCUGGAGCCUAACCCUAACCAGGCUGAUUUCGAAUUACAUCUCUUAAGCGUGUAAAUCCAAAAGUAAACAUUUCCCUGAAUUAAUACCGAACCGUCAGUCUGCGAGUGAGUAGACUGACCAGAAUCUCAGCCUGCUUCUGAAUGACACCGGAAAUGAUGACAUAUGUCACCCUGGAAAUCAGGUUCCAUGCACCUGAGAGACCAGAGGUUUUGAAGAUGAAGAAAGAUCGUUGAGAGAGAACGGGGAUGGAUUAUCCAGCCAAAGGGCAUUUUAAUUUAAUUUGGGAUGAGGAAGCAACAUCCACAUAAAAAUCUGUGCCAAUGACAGAAACUGGGCACACAGAAGCCACCUGCUUGGCCUGGAUCGUGAGUUCCCCUUUCUGUCUUCUGACCUGGACCCUCUUGGUGAGCCUCCAUUUUGGUUCCUUUCUUCAUUAAAACCUGGAAUAAAAGUCAGCCUCUCCCA